ACAAAUACAAUUAUACAAACACAUACGUGUACCCGAACUUUAUAAGGUGGCGGCUAGGAUCGACGGCCAUCAUGGCCUUUAGCUAAAGCCGCCUUGAUACCUGACACAGAAAGACACAUGGGAUGGAAAGACAUCAGCCCAGCUGGAGGACAGCAAAUGGAGAAACGAAUAAUUAAGGGGCUGCGCAUCUGGUUGUGGCUUCAAAUCUUAAGUAUCCAAUUGGCUCAAUCGUUCGAAUCAGCUGCUGGCGUGAGGAACCGGAUUGGAACAUUAGGGGCAAAUAUCAUUUUGCUAAAGAAAGUUUAUCCAAGCAAGA
rnacentral:lncRNA from 1 species